GUGGGGCAGGGAGGAGACUGGGAGAGGCAAGGGUAAAUUCUGCCAACAUUUUGCCCAAGGCUUCCUUGCCUAGCCUACCUCUCUAGUGUUCCCUAGAAUACUACCUCUACCUCUAGUAUUUUUACCUCUAUUAGCUCCGUUAAGCUGCUUAAGUAUUUGUUGAAGGAACUAAAAUCCUCCUCCCCCACGUGGGGACUAAAAGUCUUGCCGGAGCUGGGAGCCAGGAUGAUUCACCUAACCGACUCGUGAUGAUGAGGUGGAAGCCUGGAGUGCGGAAUCCACUCGAAUUUCAGAACCAGUUGAGACUUGAUUCUUCCUUUUCCUCCAUCCAAAUCCGUUCACCUUUCCGUCAUCCAGCUGCAGCGGCAGCCAACGGAAACUCGACCUGAAGUUCGUACCCAAGGAGGGAGAGAUGCAGCCUCAGCAACGACAUUAUAAAGAAGAUAAAGCAUGGACCACCAUUCGAAGGUUAGAGACAAGGUGCUCUUUCUGCUCGAUCCGGAGCGGUGGCUCGGGGUUUAUAGGCAUACCGGGACAAGAGGGAAUGUGAGUGGUGGGGACCUGAAGAAUGGAGGAGAAACUGAACAGGAGCUAUACUGCCCUCCUCCCGAUUCCGAGAGAGAGCCUACCCGAGAGAGCAGUCUAGAAGGCCCCUUAGGAACUGAACCCAGGAACUUGCCGCCCAAACCUCCCAGGUCUGUGCUAGUGCGGGUCUUGGAUUACCAAGUGAAGCAGGAGAUUCAACAAACCGCGUGGGUGAAAGGAAAGAUGACUCUGAAAACCGAGGAGCGCUCAAUGAGUUCUAUUAGUUUCUGGACCUACAAAGGAUAGAGUGAAGUCUCUGAAACUACCUGGAAAUUGGCAAGGGGAAGUGGAGAACAGGAUUUGGAAUCUACAAUACAGACGUCGCAAAGGAAGGUAUGUUGUGUCUAAGCCCCAAAAGGAGGAUUUGAUUGGACUCCUUUAUUUCUGGAGGAGAAAGAAAAGAGACCAGUGAAGGCUCUGGUCUGGUGGCAAAGACGAAAAUUUCCAAGAAAAAGGAUGUUUCUUGUAGUUGGAACUCUAAAGCAUUUCAGCCCCCAAUUAACUGACCAAAAAGUCAGUUUUAAAACUCUGAGGCAACACUGCCGGGAGGCGGAAGAGAGUAUAGAAAUCUUUAUACUAUUGUAACCAAAAUGUCCUCUCUUGAGACUGAUAAUUCAUACUGUGACAGUUUGGGGCAGCAAAGUACUACUGAGGAAUUGGAAGAAAUAACUUCCUUCUUGUGCUUAGCGGCCAUCCAGAAAUCACCAUGGGAAGUGGAAAAACAAACAAUACCCCUCCAUUCCUGCUUCCAUACUCUGUAAAUCCUAACCUUGUCCAUAUGUAGCACUCAUUGCUUCAGUCAUCAUUCUUCUGCAGGGAUGGGAAUGAGGAAGAAACUCAGCUGCUACCAGUCACCUAGCCUGAUUUCACAAGUCAUAAUUUACUUCUGGUACAUGCUAUGUGUGGAUUUAAUAACCAGCCUGACCAAGAUCUACAUAGCCAGCUGUGAACAUCAUAGUGACUACAAGUGUCUAUACUCACCCAAUGACUUCUGUGUCUACUCAUUCCUUUAACUCUAACCAGAUCUUUACCACAUGAAAUAAUUCACUAUGUAAUACAUCACUUUUAUGUGAUCGAAUAACAGCUAAUUGCUGUACCAAUGCUCUUCUUGUGGGCUAGCACACUUAACUCUUCUAAAAGGAAUUCCCAUGCUUUUAGCUUCCUUGAACCUUAUGGAAACAUCUGAGGAGAGUUUUUUGAAUCAUUGCCCACCUUCUUGGCUUGUAGUUUCCCAAUCUCUUUAUACAUUUGUGCCUGUUUUAGAUGUUUGUUUUAGUUGGAGAUUGACUUGCAACACACUCUCCAACCUAGUGUUGGAGGUGUGUAUACAUAGGGGUGACAGGAGAUACUUGACUAAUACCACGAAAAGACAAGGAGAGAAUGAAAAGAUUUCAAAUUUUCACCCUCUGAAAUUCUGAAGCAGGGAAAUAUUUUUUUUUUCCCAUGGAAAGUGGUCACAUUCUCUUCAUUACUGAUAUGAGUGUGGGGAGCAUCUAUGGAUGUUUUUCAAUGGCAAUAGCAGUUGAUGUACUGGUUUUGUUAAAAAAAAAAAGAGAGAAUGUUCUCCCUUAAAAAAAAUUGUUGUUAAAAGAAAAGGCUAAUUGGAUAAAAGAGAGGGGAGGGUCUAUUUUAAAAUGAAUAUGAUGAAAAAAACAAAAAGAAUCAACAACAAAAAUAAUUAAAACUUGAGUGUUUUAGCACUGAAUAAGAAAGCUACUCUCCUCAGCCCCACCCAGUACUUGUGGAUUUGUAACAUCUGGCUAUCUCCACAAAUUAGGGUAUACAAAUUCUCUUGAUGUUAGCUGUUUAGCAGGAUUUUCUAGGAUUUCAAGCACUGAGCACAGUUCCUAACUAGUAGUACCACUUAAUAAGUGCUUAUUUCCCACUCCCCUCCUCCCUCCAAUUCUGGACCCUGAGGCAGGAUUGCUCUCUAGGUCACUGACUCUAGUGUCAUUAAAGGAGCUUUAGACAAUCUUAUCUAUCAGUGAAUUUAUCAAUAGUAGAGGAGACUCAGGGAUAAAGAAAUGCUAUAUGGAAAAUCAGGAUUUUUGGCUGGUCCAGUUAAAAGCGCAUGUUAUUAAGAAUGAACAAUCCUUUCCUUACUUCCCUUACUCCACUUUAGAAAAUAAUAUUUCUCUUAAUUCAGUAUGUGAUAAGCUAAAUAGGACUGUAUAUUCAAAAGGAGAGAACUAAAGAGAACAGAAAGAAGGCUGGGAAUAUGGAGACUUUCCAGGUACAACAGAUAUGGUCUGAAAUUAGCUUGGUAAGAUUGUUCUUUGGGGCAACUUCAUGCCUGUUUUAUUUGUACUGUGAUAGUGCUAUUUGCUGAGAAUAGAUUUAACUACUAUUUUUCUUGUCCUAGCAUUUUUCAUUCUGGGAUUCAUUUUGCAAAGCUUACUACCUCAGAUCAACUUUUUAAGACAAUUUAAAUUGAGGAGAGAUCCUAGAAUACAGCAAAGCUACCCACUUUGUGGGAGGAUGGGGUGAAGGAAGUCACCUGGAGUCAUAAGCAAGUGUACUUCAUUUCAUUAAGAUGUAAGGUGUUGGGGGGCAGCUGGGUAGCUCAGUGGAUUGAGAACCAGGCCUAGAUAUGGGAGGUUCUAGGUUCAAAUCUGGCCUCAGCCACUUCCUAGCUAUGUGACCCUGGGCAAGUCACUUGACCCUCAUUGCCUAGCCCUUACCACUCUUCUGCCUUGGAACCAAUACACAGUAUUGACUCCAAGAGGGAAGGUAAGGGUUUAAAAAAAAAAGAUGUAAGGAGUUCACCCAGGGAAUUUUUUAAAAAUCCUUCUCUUCUGUCUUAGAAUCAAUGCUGUGUUAUUGAUUCUAAGGCAGAAGAGUGGCACGGGGUAGGCAAUAGGGGUUCAGUGACUUCCCCAGGAUCACACAGCUAGGAAGUGUUUGAGGUCAGAUUUGAACCAGGUCUUGACUCUACACCUGGCUCACAAUCCACUGAGCCACUUACCUGUCCUUGGGAAAUGAUUUUUAAAUGGAAACUUUAUUAACUAGUCAAACAUUAAGGACAUUUUAAUUGAUUUAUUAAAGAGACAAAAAUGUAACUAAAUGGACUUUUCAUUAGUUAAAUUUAACAAAUAUAUAUAUGCAAAUUAUUGAUUAUUUUAGAUUUAAGUAUAUGGAAUGCCUGUGAUUCUGGUGCUGAAUUGGUGGAGAUGGGGCUUGUUGUUUUUAUGUAACUGAAGGAGUAUAAAAGCUGCUAGCAUCUUCUAAGAGUCAUUGCCUUGGGGCAUGGCCUUGCCCUAGUUGCUACUCUGAAUAAGAGUAGAAACCAUAAAAGAUUUAUUCCAGAGACUUGAGUUCCAUUCCUAGUUCUGCCCUUUAUUCAGUGUUUGACCUCUGGGCAAGUCAUUUACCUUAAGCCCCAAUUGCCUUAUCUGGAAACCAAGAAUGAUAAUAACUACCCUAGUUACCUUAUACAUUCAUUUUGAAGGAUCAAAUGAAAUAAAAUAUAUACAUUGUUUUGUAACAGAAAAUACUAUAUAAAUGGACUUGGCUAUAAUUAUUAAUAACUAAUCCUACACUUUUCCAAACCCAUUUUUAAAAAAUUUACCUUCGAUUUAUGGUACUAUCUUUAUGAAGUAUGUGAGGCAAAAUGUCUCUUGAUUCCUAAGAAUAGUAUUUAGAACAGAGGGCAGGGUGGCUUGGGAGUAAAUUAUUUCCUUUCUUUUCACUCUAUGCUAACCUUUUCUACUUCAUUAUCCGAAUGAAACUGCUCUUCAAAGUUACCAAUGACUUUUUAAAAAAACCUUUACUUUGUAUCUUAGUCUCUAAGUAUUGGUUCUAAGGCAAAAGAGUGGUAAGGGCUAGGCAGCUGAGGUUAAAUGAUCAAGGUCACACAGCUAGGAAAUAUCCUGAGGCUAAAUUUGAACUCAAAGCCUGGCUCUAUCCACUGAACCACCUACCUGCCUCCUGAUUUCUUAAUUGUCAAACAUUGUGCCUUUUCCUUAGCCCUUAUGCUUCCUCAAUUACUCUAUAGUAUUUGACACAAUAGAUCAUCUCCUGGAUUGUCUUCCCCUUGGAUUUUCAUAAAACUGUUCUUUCCUCUUUUUCCUCCAGUUAUUUUUAUCACUUCUUAGUGAGAAAACACUUUUGCUCUUUCUCUAUUCAUGUCAUAUUUAUCAAUUAUGGGUAUCUCUUCUCUCCUGCUGUGAAUCUUAAAUUUACUCAGACUGUGCCUUAGAAGAUUUGGUUAAACUAUUCCCCAUUUUCUACAAUGGAGGUACUUGGUCAGGAAUAUAUUGAGAACUUUAAAAUUACUCCACCCUGCUCAGACAGUGCCUUAGGGGAAGAUAAAGUUGCAAAUUCCUGAUUGAACAAUGAAAAGUCCCCAACUCAUACUUAUAGUGAAGCAAAAACCCUAAGCUAGGUGGUCUAUUUUUAGAUCUAAUACAAAAGGGUGCUAAGUACCUAUAAAGGUUAAAUCAAUCACUGAAAGGUCAAGCAACUUACAAAAGGCAAGCUUAACAAAAGAGGUGUGAAGUUUUAGUCUAACCAGAGAAGGUGAGAACCAAAGAAGAUGUGAACUAAGAAUGGGCAGUUCUGGGAAAAAGUGUCUGAUGUGAAAAUUUGGGGGAGGUAACAUAAGAGAAAAUUUCUUUAAAAGGAGAAUUCAGUUCAGUUUGGAGGUAGUUCAGUUUGGAAGCUGAAUUGGAGCUCUGAACUCAAUUCAAGAGUUCAGAGGAGGGUCUCUGAACUCAGUUCAGGAGUUGAGGAUUUCAGUGAAGGACUGGAGAUCGCUUGAGACAUCUUGUGGUGAGUGAUAAAGACUGACUCUCCCUUAAGGCUCAGGCCUAGGCCAAAUGGCCUACUAUUAUUCUACUAUUUUCUCUCCCCUUCCCUUAAUUCCUUCAUUGAUAUUAAUUAAAAUCUCCAUAAUACCCAGCUGACUUGGGUAUUUUCAUAUUUGGGAAUUUUCCCAUAGUGACCACUUAUUUUUAAUAUAAAUCAAGACACUAAAAAUUAUCUUUACAGUUUGGCCGAAACCUUUAGAGUGUUUUGGAAAUUCACAGUCUUGGCAAAACCAUAUUUUUGCAGUUACACCUGCAAAGUGUCUCUUUUUGUACUCUCUUGCAUAGUGAUGAUAUUUUUAGAGAUAUUUUAUUUUACCAGUUACAUGUAAUAACAAUUUUCCACAUAAGUUUUCUGAAGUUAUAAGGUCCAAAUUGUCUCCCUCUUUCCCUUUACUCUCCUUCCCAGAGAUGGUAACCAGUUUGAUCUGGGUUAUACAUAUAUUAUCAUGCAAAACCAAUUUCCAUAUUGAUCAUUGUAAUAGAAUACUCAUAAAAUCAAAACUCCCAAAUAAAAAUCCAAAUAAACUAAAGUGAAAAAUAGCUUUGCAUGGUGAUCUCAUCAUCUCUCAGGAGCUGGGUUAUCCAUAUAGAUGAUGCCCAGCAUAAUGCAAAUUUAGUUUCCACAACUAAAGUACAACAUCAAUAUCCUUUUGGAUUUCUCAAAUCUAUGUCCCAUAGAUAUCUUAAUCUCAACAUAUCUAAAACUUAAUUCAUUUUCUUUUCCAGCAAACCUUCCCCUCUUCAAAAUUUUGCUUUUACUGGGGGCAGGUAAAUGACUCAGUAGAUAAAGUGCCAGGCUCAGAAAGGGGUUCUGGGUUCAAAUGUGGCUUUAGACACUUUCGAGCUAUGUGACCCUGAGCAAAUCUCUUAUCUCCAGUUGCCUAUACCUCAAUGCUCUUCUGUCUUAGAACUAAUACUUAGCUUUAAUUCUAAGAGGGUGGUAAGGAUUUUUUAAAAAUCCCUAUUAUUGUUCAGGAAACUAUUCUCCCUAUCACUUUGACCCAAAACUUCAGCUUCACUCAUUGUAUAUAUCUAAUUAGUUGCCAAAGUUUGUCAAUUCUACUUUAACAUGUCUCUCAUAUACAUUUACUUCUCUCCACUCACACAGUCACAAUUCUAAUUCUGGCCCUCAUCACCUUUUGUCUGUACUAUUGCAAUAGCCAUCUGACUAGCCUCCUUGCCUCUCCCCAUUCCAGUCUAAUCUGCUCAGUUGCCAAAAUGUUUUUACUUUAAACAUUGGUCUGACCAUGUCUCCAUUGGGCACUUCUUACUUCAGGAUCAAGCAUAAAACUUUAUGAAUGACCUGGCCUUCUCCAUUUCCAUUGUUCUUACACUUUUUACCUCUCAAUGCACUUUGUGAGCCAACUACAUUGGCCUAAUUGAUCUUCACAUAAGACAGUCCAUCUUGUUCCAUCUCCUGUCUCCAUUUCUUUGCAGUGGCUGUGCCCCAUCCCUAGCAUGCUCCCUCCUUAGUUUUGCCUCUCUUCUUUUAGAACUUAAUAUAAAUCCUGCCUUUUGUAGUUCUUUUCCUCUAAGACUGCUUUUUUAUCUUUUUUCUAUCUAUAUCUUUUAUGUUUUUAAUUAUUUACAUGCUGUUUCCUGCCAUCUGUCCCCCCCCACUUCUGCCCCCCAUUAAGAAGUAAGGUCCUUGAGGGCAGGGACUGCUUUUGCUUUACUUUUGUGUUCUGUUUCUGAUACCAAUAAAGGACUUAAUAAAU